rnacentral:lncRNA from 1 species
CUUGUAGCUUUCUUCUCCAAGACAACUUCUUUCACUCCUCUUCUUAAUUCCUCUUCUUUCAUCUCCAUUUCCUUACUCCAUCACUUCUAUUCCAUGUAAUUCACUAUCGAUUUUACAAGACUCAACAUCAAAAUCAUCACUGCAACAAUCAAAUCCACCAUUAAUUUUUGAUUUUCAAUUAAAAGUUUUGCAGCUUCAAGCUAAUCAAUUGAUUUCUUAGAAGACAUUUUCACAUCUUUUUGCACUACAAAUAAUAGGAAAUCAACAAAUGGGUCACCCAAAAUUCAAGAAAAUUUACACUUUUUUAAGAUGGUAAGUACCAAAUUUUUACUUUUGG